rnacentral:lncRNA from 10 species
UCAAAAAACAAAAACCAAGAGAAAAAUAACUUGUGCUUCAUGAAAAUCAAAAUUAGAGCUGAAAUGCCCAGUUGCCAACAGCAAGCCAAAACCAGCCUCUCUGUCCUGGCAUGAGUUAAAUCCAACUGAUCGCAUCCAGGGGUGUUGCAUUUAUCCUGCCUCAAUUUGUUCUUGAAAGGAGAACAAGCACGAUCAUAAAGGAUUUCAGAUUUCAGACCUGAUAGUUUGAGGAAUAGAUACAGAAUACAUCUCAAAAUGUACUAUCUAUUCACGUGGAAAAGUAGUAAAUUAUUGUUUUGGGGUUUUUUGGUUUUGUUUGUUUGUUUGUUUUGAGAUGGAGUCUUGCUCUGUCUCCCAGGCUGGAGUGCAAUGGUGUGAUCUUGGCUCACUGCAACCUCCACCUUCCAGGUUCAAGUAAUUCUCUUACCUCAGCCUCCCAAGUAGCUGGGACUAUAGCCGGGUGCCAACACAUCCAGCUAAUUUUUGUAUUUUUAGUAGAGACGGAGUUUCAUCAUGUUGGCCAGGCUGGUCUUGAACUCCUGACCUCAGGUGAUCCGCCUGCUUCAGCCUCCCAAAGUGCUGGGAUUACAGGCAUGAGCCACCUCACCCGGACAAACUAUGAUCGUUUUUUUAAAAUAAAUAAAUUCCUCCAAUCCAAAA